rnacentral:rRNA from 1 species
UACGUAGGGGGGCGAGCGUUGUCCGGAAUCAUUGGGCGUAAAGCGCGUGUAGGCGGUCCGGUAAGUCCGCUGUGAAAGUCGGGGGCUCAACCCUCGGAUGCCGGUGGAUACUGUCGGGCUUGAGUACGGAAGAGGCGAGUGGAAUUCCCGGUGUAGCGGUGAAAUGCGCAGAUAUCGGGAGGAACACCUAUGGCGAAGGCAGCUCGCUGGGACGUUACUGACGCUGAGACGCGAAAGCGUGGGGAGCAAACAGG